rnacentral:rRNA from 1 species
CGCGUAGACGGUUUUGUAAGUCAGAUGUGAAAUCCCCCGGGCUCAACCUGGGAACUGCAUUUGAGACUGCAUGGCUAGAGUAUCGAAGAGGGAAGUGGAAUUUCCGGUGUAGCGGUGAAAUGCGUAGAUAUCGGAAGGAACACCAGUGGCGAAAGCGACUUCCUGGUCGAAUACUGACGUUCAUGUGCGAAAGCGUGGGGAGCAAACAGGAUUAGAUACCCUGGUAGUCCACGCCAUAAACGAUGACAACUAGAUGUUGGGAGGGUCUGCCUCUCGGUGUCGCAGCUAACGCGUUAAGUUGUCCGCCGUGGGGAGUACGGCCGCAAGGUUGAA